CUCCGGUGCGCUCCACCAAUCAAAAAGGACGAUGGAGAGCGGGGGCGGAAGAGAAAACGGAAAGGGGAAGAGAGCAGCGUUGGGAGGAAGGGCCGGAGGACUGGAAGGCUGGGAGGGGCGCGGCGGCGGCAGGGCGGGGAGCGACCACGUGCCUCCGGAGCUACCGGGAGGAAGCGAAAGAGAAUUGGACCACUUGAGGAGAGGCGGGGAUGGAGAAGGAGAGAACCUGGGAGCAAGUUGGUUUGCUCUUGUUGUCCGGCCGCCCCAGAUCUCUGUGUUCCAGGUUUGAAGCGGAGUUAAAGUUUUUGUUUUGUUUUGUUUUCCGGCGCGCCUUCUCUUUCAGGGCAUUGCUUGCGCGCUCCGUUGACUUUACUGGAAGUAGGAGAUGCACGUUGGGUCAGUCCGGUCGGGGCACGCCCUUCCCCCACUCCCCAAGGUCCAUUCCCAGGCUGGGGGUCCCCGCCGUUUGAGGGCAGGGCCAUAGAGUUUGGACCAGCUGGGGUGACGUGCGUUCGGGAGUCGCGGCGGAAAGCGAGAGGGACAGUGGGUGGAAAAGGGAAAGGACGCAGUAGGCAAAUCUGAUUCAUCCUUUCAAACCACGUCCCCGCAACAGGUGAGAAAACUGAAGAACAGAGAGGAUUGGUGACUUGUCCAAGGUCACUGAAUAAGCAGAAAACCUGGCAUUUGAACUGGGGUGGACACCAGAGCCAGCACUCCUGAUUACCAUAUAGGCACAUAAACAUCACAGUUCACGGUUAACUUUUUAAGGUAGGCAUUAUUACUUCCACUUUUUAAAUAAGGAACCCAAAGUUCAGAUAGGCUGAGCAACUUGCUCAAGACCCUAUGCAACUAAUAAGUGUUAGAGCCCCAGUUUGAUUUCAGGUCUGACUAGCUGCUAAACUCCCACUGUUUCUAGUUGACCAUUACUAUGGGCUGCAGGCUUGUGUCCUAAAAUCCAUGUGUUGAAACCUCAUCCUCAAUGUGAUGGUGUUUGGAGGUGGGGCCUUUGGGAAGUAAUUAGGUCAGGAGGGUAAAACCCUCAUUAAUGGGAUUAGUACCCUUAGAAAGGGGGCCCUUCAGAGAUCCUUCUGCCAGGUGAGGUUAGUGCGAAGAUGGCGGUCUAUGAGGGAAUGUGUUCUCAUCAAAUUGGCUACUGCCUUGAUCUUGGACUUUCCAACCUGCAGAACUGUGAGAAAUAAAUUUCUGGGGGCACCUGGCUGGCUCAGUUUGAAGAGCACAUGGCUCCUGAUCUUGAUGUUGUGAGUUCCAGUACCACACUGAGUGGUGAAGAGAUUACUUGAAAAUAAAAUCUUUUUAAAAAAAGUAAAUUUUUGUUGUUUAUAAGCGCCGGUCUGUGGUACUUUGUUACAGCAGCCUGAAUAGACAAAAUCACCAUGCUGCCUCUCUGGCCUAUAACACAGAUCUCCCCUGGGCCUCUAUGAUAUUGUGGUUUAUAUUAAGAAAUAUAUAUUUGGUCUUCCUUCAUGGUUCCUGGCACAUAACUCCUAAAACCUUUGUAAUUUCUUAAAUGGUAACAAUUACAGGGGUAUCUUUCCUUCUCAGCUUCUGAAACAGCUCCACAAUGAAAUGGGUGUCUUUUGUUAUUCAUAACAAGCCCCUUUUAACCACAUCUGAGUGUAUGUUAAUGCAAUGACUUUUGGAAAGUCCCUAAGGACCCUGGGGCCUGGUUGCCAGGGGAACCAACUGUGUGAUUAGAGGGUUCAAAAUUUCAGUCCAACUCCUGCCCUUGACCUCUGGGGAGGAGAGAGGGACUGGCCAAUGAUUUAAUCAAUCAAGCAUACUUAAUGAAGCCUCCAUAAAAACCCAAAAAGGUUGGAUUGGGAGAGCUUUCGGGUUGGUGGACUCGUGGAGGUGCUCCAGACAGAUAUGGAAGCUCUGUGCCCCUUUCCCCAUACUUUGCCCUGUGCAUCUCUUCCAUUUGACUGUUCUUAAGUUAUAUCCUUUUAUAAUAAACUGGUAGUCCAAUACUUAAAACUGUUUUCCUCCGUUCUGUGAGCUGCUCUAGCAAUUAAUCAACCCCCACUCCAGUGGGGUUGGUAUAUAGAUCUCUGAUUUAUAGCUGGCUGGUCAGAUGUACAGGUGACAGCCUGAACUUGUGAUGAUGUAUGAAAUUGCGGGGGCAGGGGCAGUGCUGAGUCUUGUCCGGCUGAACCCUUAACCUGUGGGAUCUGUAGGACACCCAGCUGGUGUCACAGAAUCGUUUGGGGCAGGAAAAAACUACCACACAUUGGUAAUCAGAAAUGAGAAUAGUACUGUGACUGGACAGAAAACAUUUUUUUUUUUUUUCCUAAACAGGCUCCAAAGAGGUCUAGUUCUGAAAUGUCUAAGGCAGUGGUUCUCAAACUUUAAGGUGCUUUAGAACCAGCUGGAAGACUGAAAACCCAAAUUGGUUAUAGACUUAACUAAAAAAAUGUGCUAAAUAAUGUUUUAAGGACAGAAUUUAGCCAAUUUCAUUUCACUUUUUAAAUAGAUUUAUGCAAUAUUUUCCUGGGUUCCUUUCUGUUCUCAAGCUUUUCUCUUGAAUUUUCUCAAAUGCCAUUUUCUUGAUGACAUUUUUCUUAAAAGACUGACUCCACUGAUCCUAUGAAGUCUAGUCCAAGUUCCUUGCUGUUAGUUAAAUCUCAUAUCCUCUGCUGCUGACUUUCCUCAUUCCUUGAAGGCUCAGGCCCGUGUCUCCCUUCUUGAGUCACUUCCCAAAGAGACAAAACUUGUCUCUUAACUGUUCUUCUUCUGCUCAAUUGCAGCCCAUUUGCCAGGCAUUCUGGUUUCCCUCUACUAGCUUCCACCUUAGGGCCAUGCCCUCACAGUUAGUCCGGAAUGGAGUCCCCUGCCACAUCUGCAAUGAUCUCCAGGAACCAUCUCUGAUACCAACAAACAAGAAAAUCCCAGUAUCUCCAUGGUUUAGUCUCCCUGUUCAGCAUGGAUUUCUUUAAAAAAAGAAAAAAAAAAAAAAAAAGAAAAACCUAAUGGCACUAAUCUACAUGUAGUUUCUUUCUUUCUUUUCCUUCUUAAGAUUUUAUUUAUUUACUUGAGACAGAAAGAGAGCACAAGCCAGAGGAGAAUCACAGAGAGAGGGAGAAGCAGGCUUCCAGCUGAGCAGGAAGCCUGACGUGGGGCUCCAUCCCAGGACCCUGAGAUCAUGACCUGAGCUGAAGGCAGAUGCUUAACUGACUGAGCCGCCCAGGCGCCCCUAUAUGUAGUUUCUUAAACUGAAAAGAUUGUUUUUGAUUUUUUAUUCUUUUCUCCUGGGUUCCAUGUUCAAAGAGUGGCAACUUGUAUCGAAUAAAUAGAAUAUGGUAUUUCUCUCAUUUGCCUUCUCCCUAUUCUCUGCUACCAUCCUCUGUUUUGUUCAAGAAAGGUAAGAAGUGUUUCAUGUUCAUGAUGAGUUAGAAGAGAGCAUACAUGUUAUCUACACCAACCACCUCAUUUGUGCUUGAAUUCUGACUUCUGUGGUUUCAUCAUGUGCAACAUAUUCAUUAACUGGGAGCUCAAUAUUUCUUGAAUCAUAGCCCAUUCAGUCUUCAGAGAAUAUCGUUACAAAGUUCAUAUUAAACAAGUAUAUAUAUAAUAUUACUUAAAAAGUCAUUGUGAUACUUAAGGUUUAACCAGAUAGGCAUCCAUGGAGAAUACAAAGGGCAAGGGCAUUAAAUAGGGCUAUUUUUUGCAUUUGUGAAAAUGAUAGAUUUCUACCAACUAUAAUAUAUUACAUCUAGGUUUUGGGUCCUGUUUUUAAUUUUUUUAAAAUUUUUUAAUAAACAUAUAAUGUAUUAUUAGCCUCAGGGGUACAAGUCUGUGAAUUGCCAGAUUUAAACACUUCACAGCACUCACUAUAGCACAUACCUCCCCAAUGUCCAUAACCCCACCACCCCUGUUUUGAAUUUUGAGAGAAUAGUAGUGCUAGUCAGACUGAUGAAAAUCCUCAUGAAUGUGAAUGAUUUUAAUAACUUGAGUAGACAGAACUGAUGCCAUAAAAGAGGCAAGUACCUUGGAUUAUCACAUAUGAGGAGGACUCCGAUGUAUUUAUUAGUUAUUUUUAUUUAUUACUGAGUAGAGAUUAUAUGUGGCAUAUGGUACCCACGUAUACACCUAUAAUUCAGGAAGAUGAACUACAAAACUAUACAAGAUAGAAGACUUAUUUUAAGUCCAGAAGUUAGUCCUGAAAUUCACAAUACCUCAUAGAAUUCAUCAGCUUUCUAUUUACAGUUCUGUCACUAUCUUAUACAAAACCCUGAAGUCUCUUGGAGAACUCAAAUAGCUUCAGCAGAUUCUCCCGAUGCCUGUGAAGUCAAAGGUCUGUAGCUCCUUGAGUAUUUUAGACUUUGACCACUGAUUACCUUAUGAUGGACUGCAGAAAAGUAUUUAACAACAAAUCUUUUAAUGUUUUUCUCACCCUUCCCAUUUGGUUGAAUCCUGGAAACAUUUGUCCUUUCAUUUAAUACUUAAACCAACAUCAUUAGGCCCUGUUAAAAGUUUUUGUCUUUAUAACUAAUGAAAAUCAGAGCCCGGUAGGUGUUAACCCACCUUAUUUAGAGCCCACUAGGUAUUAAAAUGUCUUGUUUUCUUGCCUUUUGGCUUCAACCCUAAGAUCUGCCUAAUCAAACCCUGAUGUUCUACAUGGCAGAACGUAAGCUACCAUACUGAUCCCAAAUUAGACCUCCCAGGUUUUUAGUUCUAUUUAUAAAUAGAAGCAUCAGAGGAAGCAUUUAACUUGUAGACAGAUCAAGUCAACAAAUAACGAGUAAUAUUAUUCAGUAAAUUCAAGGAUAUCACAGAACUAUUUAGAACAGUAGAAAAACAUUCAUGUAUGGGUGGCCUAGGAGACCUAUUUAAUUUCUAGAAAUAGGAAAUUCCUUUAUAGUUUUUGUUCUUGUUUUUUUCUUUUAUUUCUACUUGUCAUACGAAAAGAUGGAAAAAUUACCCAUCAUUUGUCUGUCCUGAUAGUCAUUAUCAUAGAACCUCAUUAAAAGUAAUUAAAAUUUGCCACAGAAAUCUUUUUGAGUGCUGCACAUCUUUGUCUCAUUGAAUCUCUGCUAGUCCUCUUGGAGGCACUCUUGUGGCAUGCAAAGAGUUCCAAAGGUACAUCAGCAAAUUGUUAAUCUCAGCACCCUUAAUGUGCUAGCUUCUUUUAGGAAUAAUUUAAACACGCUUUGGACUGUCCUUAUCACAAAGUACUGCUCUUACUAUAAUACCCAAAAUAACAGGAGUAGGGGGGGGCAGAGAUAACACAUAUAUCUCUAACCACCUGUUCGUAUGUUACCACUAGUGUAGUGUGUGUCUUAGUGAUAUCGUACCCUGUAAUGUAUGGUCCAGUGUAGCAUAUACCUAAGUAUAAAGCAGAGUGUAUAGCCAGGGUCAGCUUCCAGGGCAUGCAGCUUAUAGUCUCACAGGGCCCUGCACUGAGAAGGGCCCCACAUUUGGUUUAAUGCUCAGUUGUCACUAUCUUGAAAGUUGUGAUUUUUUUACAAGGGGUUCCACAUUUUCAUUUUCUACUGAGCCUUGCAAAUUAUAUAGUCUGCGCUGGAUAAUGCAGUGUAUAUUCUCCUAAAUACCUCCCUACCCACAACUCUUUAGCAUGUAUUCCUUCAAUCUAAAAAAAAAAAAAAAAAAAAAAAAAAGGCUAUAAAAUACUCCUAUUUCAAAUGUAAAUAAGUAAUGUAAAUAUUAUAGGAUCAUAUUAUAUAUACUAGUUUUGCUUUCUCAUUUAAUAUAUUAAGGAUAUACUGAAGAAUACUCUCUUGUAUGGAUAAACCAUAAUUUAACUACCUACUGAUGGACAUGUAUGUCUUCUGUUCUUUGCUGUGAUAGUGAACAUCUUUCAGCAUACAUCUUUGUUUACUUGCCCCACUAUUUCCCUAGGAUAAAUUUCUAAAAGUAGAAUUGCUGAGUCAAAGGGUAUGGACAUUUAAAAUGUGACACAUACAACCCAACUGUUCCUCAAAAGAUUACACUAGGUUAUAUCAAUCUAAAUCCCACCAACAGGUUAUAGGCACCAUGGUUACCCUGCAUUGUUGCUCCCCAUGCUAGCAUAAUAACUCACUUUCACCUCUGUUGAUCUGAUAUUGCUGGUAUUUCUAAUGGCAUUAACCUGAGUUAUUAGAUCACUGGGAUAUCAUUGAUUCUGCUAAUAUGGAAUGGGAGUUUAUUGAACCAAACAUCAAACAUAA